rnacentral:rRNA from 1 species
ACGCUGGCGGCAGGCCUAACACAUGCAAGUCGAGCGGAAACGACACUAUUGAAUCUUCGGAUGCUUUAAUGGGCGUCGAGCGGCGGACGGGUGAGUAAUGCCUAGGAAAUUGCCUUGAUGUGGGGGAUAACCAUUGGAAACGAUGGCUAAUACCGCAUAAUGCCUACGGGCCAAAGAGGGGGACCUUCGGGCCUCUCGCGUCAAGAUAUGCCUAGGUGGGAUUAGCUAGUUGGUGAGGUAAUGGCUCACCAAGGCGACGAUCCCUAGCUGGUCUGAGAGGAUGAUCAGCCACACUGGAACUGAGACACGGUCCAGACUCCUACGGGAGGCAGCAGUGGGGAAUAUUGCACAAUGGGCGAAAGCCUGAUGCAGCCAUGCCGCGUGUAUGAAGAAGGCCUUCGGGUUGUAAAGUACUUUCAGUUGUGAGGAAGGGGGURWMGUUAAUAGCKKYRYMUCUUGACGUUAGCAACAGAAGAAGCACCGGCUAACUCCGUGCCAGCAGCCGCGGUAAUACGGAGGGUGCGAGCGUUAAUCGGAAUUACUGGGCGUAAAGCGCAUGCAGGUGGUUCAUUAAGUCAGAUGUGAAAGCCCGGGGCUCAACCUCGGAACUGCAUUUGAAACUGGUGAACUAGAGUGCUGUAGAGGGGGGUAGAAUUUCAGGUGUAGCGGUGAAAUGCGUAGAGAUCUGAAGGAAUACCAGUGGCGAAGGCGGCCCCCUGGACA